rnacentral:rRNA from 1 species
GUCUUAUAGAUAAUAAUUUUAAGUCCAAUCUGCCCAAUGAAUUAAUUAAAUGGCUGCAGUAUAUAUAACUGUACUAAGGUAGCAUAAUAAUUUGUUUUUUAAUUAAAAACUUGAAUAAAAGAUUAAAUGAAAUAUAUACUAUAUCAAUAAAAUUAAAAAUUUAAUUUAAAUUUUAAGUUAAAAUUCUUAAAUAAAAUUUAAAGACAAAAAGACCCUAUAGAAUUUAAUAUAAAUAAAAAUUAAUUAAUUUUUAAUAAAUAAUUAAAUUAAUUAUUUAUAUUUAAUUGGGGUAAUUUUAAAAUUUUAAAAAUUUUUAAAUUUAUUUAUAUACAUAAAUUUAUGAAUAUUUUAUCCUAAAAAUUUUGAUUAAUAAAAUAAAUUACCUUAGGGAUAACAGCGUAAUUUUAUUUAAAAGAUCACAUUUAUAAAAAAGUUUACGACCUCGAUGUUGAAUUAAGAUUAAAUUAAAAGCAAAAAUUUAAUAAUUUAAGUCUGUUCGACUUUUAAAAUCUUACAU